GCCUGGGUGGUUCAGUCGGUUUAACGUCUGACUUCGGCUCAGGUCAUGAUCUCACAGUUGGUGGGUUCGAGCCCCGUGUCGGGCU
rnacentral:tRNA from 1 species